CCAAUAGCGUAUAUUAAAGUUGUUGCAGUUAAAAAGCUCGUAGUUGAAUUUUGGAUUCUUCCAAUUGGUCCAUCUUUUAGAUGAGUACUGGUUGUGUGGGGUCUAUCCGCCUGGUGAUACGUAAUGUCCUUUAUUGGAUGUUUCGGGUAGUCAGGACCUUUACCUUGAAAAAAUUAGAGUGUUUAAAGCAGGCUUAUGCCGGAAUACAUUAGCAUGGAAUAAUAGAAUAGGACGAAGUUGUUUUAUUUUGUUGGUUUCUAGGACAACCGUAAUGAUUAAUAGGGAUAGUUGGGGGCAUUAGUAUUCAAAUGUCAGAGGUGGAAUGCUUGGAUUUAUUGAAGACUAACUACUGCGAAAGCAUUUGCCAAGGAUGUUUUCAUUAAUCAAGAACGAAAGUUAGGGGAUCGAAGACGAUCAGAUACCGUCGUAGUCUUAACCAUAAACUAUGCCGACUAGGGAUCGGGCGAUGUUGUUUCCAGGACUCGCUCGGCACCUUAUG
rnacentral:misc_RNA from 1 species